GCUCCCUUAGCUCAGCUGGAUAGAGCAACGGCCUUCUAAGCCGUCGGUCGCAGGUUCGAAUCCUGCAGGGGGCGCCA
rnacentral:tRNA from 7 species